rnacentral:tRNA from 1 species
GCCAUGGCUCAAUGGUUGAGCAUCUGCUUGUCACACAAAGAUCUGAGGUUCAAUCCCCAGUAUCUCUA